rnacentral:rRNA from 1 species
AAGAAAUUUAAUAAUUUUGAAAAUGGAUUUUUUUUUUGUUUUGGCAAGAGCAUGAGAGCUUUUACUGGGCAAGAAGACAAGAGAUGGAGAGUCCAGCCGGGCCUGCGCUUAAGUGCGCGGUCUUGCUAGGCUUGUAAGUUUCUUUCUUGCUAUUCCAAACGGUGAGAGAUUUCUGUGCUUUUGUUAUAGGACAAUUAAAACCGUUUCAAUACAACACACUGUGGAGUUUUCAUAUCUUUGCAACUUUUUCUUUGGGCAUUCGAGCAAUCGGGGGGCCCAGAGGUAACAAACACAAACAAUUUUAUCUAUUCAUUAAAUUUUUGUCAAAAACAAGAAUUUUCGUAACUGGAAAUUUUAAAAUAUUAA